UACGUAGGGUGCGAGCGUUGUCCGGAAUUAUUGGGCGUAAAGGGCUCGUAGGCGGUUUGUCACGUCGGGAGUGAAAACUCGGGGCUUAACCCCGAGCCUGCUUCCGAUACGGGCUGACUAGAGGUAUGCAGGGGAGAACGGAAUUCCUGGUGUAGCGGUGAAAUGCGCAGAUAUCAGGAGGAACACCGGUGGCGAAGGCGGUUCUCUGGGCAUUACCUGACGCUGAGGAGCGAAAGUGUGGGGAGCGAACAUG
rnacentral:rRNA from 1 species